rnacentral:rRNA from 1 species
GUGUCAGCCGCCGCGGUAAUACAGAGGGUGCAAGCGUUGUUCGGAAUUACUGGGCGUAAAGCGCGCGCAGGCGGAUCCUGCAAGUCAGAAGUGAAAUCUCAUUGCUCAACGAUGAGGCUGCUUUUGAUACUGCGGAUCUGGAGACCGGUAGAGGCUGGUAGAAUUGCAGGUGUAGCGGUGGAAUGCGUAGAGAUCUGCAAGAAUACCCGUGGCGAAGGCGGCCAGCUGGGCCGGUUCUGACGCUGAGGCGCGAAAGCGUGGGGAGCAAACAGGAUUAGAUACCCUGGUAGUCCACGCCGUAAACGAUGGGCACUAGGUGCUGGGGGGAGCGACCCCGUCAGUGCCGUAGCUAACGCGAUAAGUGCCCCGCCUGGGGAGUACGGCCGCAAGGCUGAA